rnacentral:rRNA from 1 species
AUUGAACGCUGGCGGCAGGCCUAACACAUGCAAGUCGAGCGGAUGAAGGGUGCUUUCUCCUGGAUUCAGCGGCGGACGGGUGUGUAAUUCCUAGGAAUCUGCCUGGUAGUGGGGGAUAACGUCCGGACACGGGCGCUAAUACCGCAUCCGUCCUGUGGGCGAAAGUGGUGGUUCUUCGGACCUCACGCUAUCUGAUGUGCCUAGGUCGGAUUAGCUAGUUGGUGGGGUAAAGGCCUACCAAGGCGACGAUCCGUAACUGGUCUGAGAGGAUGAUCAGUCACACUGGAACUGAGACACGGACCAGACUCCUACGGGAGGCAGCAGUGGGGAAUAUUGGACAAAGGGCGAAAGCAUGAUACAGCAAUGCCGCGUGUGUGAAGAAGGUCUUCGGAUUGUAAAGCAAUUUAAGUAGGGAGGAAGGGAAGUAAGUUAAAACCUUGAUGUUUUGACGGUACCAAAAGAAAAAGCACCGGCUAACUACGUG